rnacentral:rRNA from 1 species
CAUGAAGUUGGAAUUGCUAGUAAUCGCGGAUCAGCAUGCCGCGGUGAAUACGUUCCCGGGGAUUGUACACACCGCCCGUCACACCAUGAGAGUCGGGAACACCCAAAGUCCGUAGUCUAACCGCAAGGAGGACGCGGCCUAAGGUGGGUUCGAUAAUUGGGGUGAAGUCGUAACAAGGUAUC